rnacentral:rRNA from 1 species
UCAGGACGAACGCUGGCGGCGUGCCUAAUACAUGCAAGUCGAACGGUCUUUCUAUGGAAGCUUGCUUCCACUGAGAAGAUAGUGGCGAACGGGUGAGUAACACGUGGGUAACCUGCCCAUAAGAGGGGGAUAACAUCCGGAAACGGGUGCUAAUACCGCAUAGUUUUCUUGAUCGCAUGAUCGGGAAAGGAAAGACGGCCUUUGUGCUGUCGCUUAUGGAUGGACCCGCGGCGUAUUAGUUAGUUGGUGAGGUAACGGCUCACCAAGACGAUGAUACGUAGCCGACCUGAGAGGGUGAUCGGCCACAUUGGGACUGAGACACGGCCCAAACUCCUACGGGAGGCAGCAGUAGGGAAUCUUCCGCAAUGGACGAAAGUCUGACGGAGCAACGCCGCGUGAGUGAAGAAAGGUUUUCGGAUCGUAAAACUCUGUUGUCAGAGAAGAACAAGUUGGAGAGUAACUGCUCCAGCCUUGACGGUAUCUGACCAGAAAGCCACGGCUAACUACGUGCCAGCCGCAGC